rnacentral:tRNA from 1 species
GGGGGCGUGGCUCAGUGGAAAAGCCCCUGCCUACCAUGCUUAGGGUUCUGGGUUCCAUCCCCAGCAUUUUCA